rnacentral:rRNA from 1 species
UCGAUCCUACGGGAUGCAGCAGUGAGGAAUAUUGGUCAAUGGACGAGAGUCUGAACCAGCCAAGUCGCGUGAGGGAAGACGGCCCUACGGGUUGUAAACCUCUUUUGUCGGGGAGCAAAGCGAACCACGUGUGGUUCAUUGAGAGUACCCGAAGAAAAAGCAUCGGCUAACUCCGUGCCAGCAGCCGCGGUAAUACGGAGGAUGCGAGCGUUAUCCGGAUUUAUUGGGUUUAAAGGGUGCGCAGGCGGAGGUGCAAGUCAGCGGUAAAAUUGAGAGGCUCAACCUCUUCGAGCCGUUGAAACUGG